UAAGGAGCACCACGAGACUCAAGCCGGCCCGCAUAGCGCGGAUCACCGAGACUUGGGCGAUUCGAUGGAUGGGCCGCACCUGUAGUGGGUGUGGUUCGGGUGCGCGACAAACGUUGAGCCGGUACGGGUUUCGAGUGAUCGAUGCCGGUGAUGGACUGCCAGACACACUAUUGGGCUUUGAGACAACAGGCCCGCUAUCUCUUCGUCCCGAGUGUGGGAAACCGGGGAUAGGACUGGUUGUCGCCUCGCUUUGGUGGUGGGGUGUGGUGUUUGAUUUGUGGAUAGUGGUUGCGAGCAUCUAGGCAGCGAAUGUGGGCUCACCGCGGUUGUGUGUGGUGGGUUUGUUUGGCUGUCUGAUGUGCAAUUUUUCUGAUGCCCGCAUGCGCCUGUUUGGGUGUGUGUGGGUGACUCAUUUUUUGGUUUUGUGU
rnacentral:misc_RNA from 1 species